GCGCUCACUUGAGCAGCACAUGUACUAAAAUAGGAACAAUACAGAGAAGAUUAGCAUAUCUGCUGCUCAAGGAAGACACACAAAUUUGUAAAGCGUUCCAUAUUUUU
ensembl:snRNA LOC120098046 U6 spliceosomal RNA